ensembl:lncRNA
GGUUCAGGUGUUUAGAGCUCCACUUGCAGGAAGAUGGCUUUUCAGGAGAAGAGUUUGAAAUCACUGCUCCAACUGAAAGACAGUACUCUCUUUGGAGACAAACAGAGAGCGACAAGAAGGGAAAAAAGCAAACUGGUGUCUCUUCAUUCUUCUGAUGGCAGCGACAGAAGAUAAGCGAGGUUAUUUGGUGAAGGCUGAUGCAGCGUGUUGGGUCAUGCAUAGCUGCUUUUGACAUCCAAACUGUCGCUCCCUAGACCUGUCAACUUGGGGUUUUUUCACCAGCACUCCGCCACAUCCAAAAAGACCCUCAUCAUACUGAGAGCAAUCUUCCUUCACGACUGAGAGUGAUAUGCGAGUCAAAUCUCUCACUGUGCUAAAAUGCUUUCUGGCCCUGACUGUGCAUUGAAAUGGAAUUCUGUCCUGCCGGAUCAUGAGCGCAUUAUGAACAAUUGUCCAUUUGUAUGAUAAUCACAUCUGGGAGCACAGGAUAGUAAUGUAGUGUAAUUUGAUGUAAUGUUUAAAGCUGAUCGGACACCAAUCUAUUCAAACCCCAUCUGUUCACAAGAUGCCCCUCUUCUUUCAUGCUCUGGGGUUGGCGGUCAAUUGCAGGUGUCAUUUAACUUGAUCGCCGGACGGGAUGUGGCAGAAGGAAUAUGAGACGGAUAAAAAACGAAUUACUGAGGAUCGACAGCUGGGUUACAGGUCACCCAAUGAUGGCAUGGGCAGCAUGCUGAAAUGUAAAGCAGAAGAACCACAUGGACUUACCCACAGCCUUUCAGCCUAAUAGAUAAGACUUUUGAUAUUCUUUGAACAAGUCCCAGAUGUAGGAAUCUAGAGGUUUUCAAGCAGCCCUGAAGAAAUGAAUUCCAUAAGCACCUGGCACUACAUAAAGGGAAGGGGACUGGAAUGGGCUCUCCCUGACCCAAAUACAACAUCAGCAGAAAUAUUUUAUCUGCAGAUAUCUGGAGGGGCCACAGGGAAAUACUACAUGAAUCAUGAUUGGUUGAGGGUUGGCUUUCCUGUCAAAAUGUUGCCAAGAAAUGAAAGUGAACAAACACAUCAGAAUGAAUAUUUCAUAGCGCAAACCAGGGAAUCAGGUGUAGAAAAGCAAGAACUCAUGUAAAACAUGCCACAUAAAUUGUCGUUCGGCAAAAAAAAAUUGACAUAGACAAAUAGAAAAUCAGAACUGAGAUGUAGACGUGCACACACAAAUUUGCUACAACUGAUGUACUCUAACUUUUCUCUUUUUGUCCUCUGCCACCUUUACCUGAAGGAGUGCAUUAUCAGCUCAUUAUGGGAAAUGUCUAGGCAGCAAAAUGCACAAAUAAAC